UACGUAGGGGGCAAGCGUUAUCCGGAUUUACUGGGUGUAAAGGGAGCGCAGACGGCAGUGCAAGUCUGGAGUGAAAGCCCGGGGCCCAACCCCGGAACUGCUCUGGAAACUGUGCGGCUAGAGUACUGGAGGGGCAGGCGGAAUUCCUAGUGUAGCGGUGAAAUGCGUAGAUAUUAGGAGGAACACCAGUGGCGAAGGCGGCCUGCUGGACAGUAACUGACGUUGAGGCUCGAAAGCGUGGGGAGCAAACA
rnacentral:rRNA from 1 species